rnacentral:rRNA from 1 species
UAGGGAAUCUUCCGCAAUGGACGAGAGUCUGACGGAGCAACGCCGCGUGAGUGAAGAAGGAUUUCGGUUCGUAAAACUCUGUUGUUAGGGAAGAAAAAAUGUAUAGUAACUAUAUACAAAAGAGACGGUACCUAACCAGAAAGCCACGGCUAACUACGUGCCAGCAGCCGCGGUAAUACGUAGGUGGCAAGCGUUGUCCGGAAUUAUUGGGCGUAAAGCGCGCGCAGGUGGUUUAGAAAGUCUGAUGUGAAAGCCCACGGCUCAACCGUGGAGGGUCAUUGGAAACUAAUAAACUUGAGUGCAGGAGAGAAAAGUGGAAUUCCUAGUGUAGCGGUGAAAUGCGUAGAGAUUAGGAGGAACACCGGUGGCGAAAGCGGCUUUUUGGCCUGCAACUGACACUGAGGCGCGAAAGCGUGGGGAGCAAACAGG